UUUAUCUAUUCUCAAGGUAGAUGAACUUGAAGAAGAGAAGUCAGCAGAUCCAUAGUACCCCGCUUAGCGGGGGAAGGGA
rfam:Candidatus Levybacteria bacterium RIFCSPLOWO2_01_FTLL_38_21 rifcsplowo2_01_scaffold_594, whole genome shotgun sequence.